GACAAAUAAGCCUUCAAAAAGUAUACAUUUUAAAAAAUCUGUAAAAAUGGACAGAAUACAUUUAUUUGAAGUUGGAAGAGUGUGUUUAAACAAGUCUCAAUGGUUGCACAACAUUUACAAGGUUUAAAUACAGUUUUAGACUGUAUUUGCAAUUUCACCAACAAAGAAAUGUCAGGUGGUACAACCAAAAGUUUCUUGAAAAAAAACUCACUUCCUUUUUUUUUUUUAAAGUAAUUAUUUUAGUAAGUAUACCUGAAAGUGUCUUCAGUGCCAAACAUAUUAUUAUUUUGUAGUUGAGCUGGGUAUUAAAAGUAACUUAUGGAUUCUUAAUUGUAGGGAGCGGGUAUUUUGGGUUUCCAACAUCAAACUUUAGAUUUAAAAUGUGAAUAAAUACUUUACACAUUUAAAAAGUAUAUUGUUGCAUAGAAUGAUUAUUUACAUCACAAUAUCCAAACAUUUCUUCACUUCAAUCUCCCAUUUCUUUGUUUAGAUUAGUGUUUUACCUGGUUGCACCACCUGAUGAUGCGGUUGCGCCGCCUGACACGAUUCACAAUAACAACACAUAUGUUGAAUAAUUUCAUUUUUAUUUCACAGAAUGAAAGAAUCUCAGGUGUCUUGGGUCUAUUCAAGUAUUAAUUGGUAAAGAUAAAAACUUGUCAUCAUUCUAAUUAAGAAAAUCGUACUAAACAGAUCAGAAACAACAUUGUUUGGGCAACAUUACAUGACAAAAUAACACUUAAUAUUCAUUAGAAACUGGAUAGGCUUGAAUGAAGCACUAAUUGGUACGGAUAAGAACUGCUUAUUUCAUUUAAGUAAACCGUGCUAAACUGAUCAGAUACACGUUGUUUGAGCAACAUUACAUGACAAAAAUUACACUUAAUUUGGUAGAAACUGAAUAGGCUCCAAUUAAGGGAAUUCAUUCAUUUUAGGCGGCCCUACGAAAGCAGUCCCAGUCUGCAUUGUUAAGGCGCGUGUGCCUUGAAUUAAGUGGCUCUGGUUCGGAUAUUAUCUUUAGAACAUCAGUGUGGUAAUAAAAGGUAACAUCUGCAGGAUGGGGCCAAGUGAAAGCAUUCUUUGAGCCUAACUGCUGCAUGCAGCUGACCUCUAGCUCCUCAUCAAACACCUGAAGAACCUGCCCCACAAAUGGCUGUUCCUCAUACCUUACUAUGACAAAUUUUCCAGUAAGAUCCUGUUGAACAUUCACACUUGCCUCGGCACUGCUCGUUCGAAAGCUUAUCAUGGUGGUUUUGUAGCAUUGGCAGAUGUCAGGCCUGCUACAGAAACAGGACAGCUCUCGAUGCAGAAUUGUCCCUGGUUCAGUUGACAGGAUCUGGUGUAUGCCCAUAGUUCCCUUUACCAGGGGCACAACUUCAGGGACAGACUCAUCAUACUUCCUGAUGUCCUCCUCACACACCCAGAAAAACUUUUAUUUUAAGUUUUAAUUUUACUUGAUGCCUGUCUCUCCUUCAAAAAUCGGUAGAACUCCUCUGGGGUUUGAAUGUCUACUCCCAUGUUGACAGAAGAGUCAGCUAUCCUUUUGACAGCACCCCCAACACCAUCUGGUGCACCUUUCCCGUGAGACUUCUCAGAGAAGUUCCAAGUGACCUGCUUGAAUCCUGAAAGGAAGGGGAUGGUGCUCAGCAGGCUCAAGGUGGGCCCACACAGCUCUCUCAUCAUGCCGGAGGGACCCAGAGAUAGUGGCAAAGGAUUGCACUCCAUCUGAGGAGUAGGCAACACAGGAGUGUACGUACAGUGGCCUGCCUUCUGUUUCCUCCAAAGUGGAAAGCCUGCACUUCCCUGUUGAGUUUGCAGCCGAAAUUUUCUGCAAAAUCAACAUGCACAACUAUCUCAUCAUCUUUAAGGCUGUCUUUUAAUGCCCUGCACUCUUUGGCCUGGUGGAGCCAAUUAAAAUGGUGCUUUGCAAGGCCAUCAAGCUUUCGGUUGAAAAGCUCCAACAUUUCAGAUGAUGUACCAUUUUGUGUCUCCUUCACAAAGUUCAUGAAUGUCCUUUGCUCCUCUGUGACCGGUUUUCUCACCCACUGAGACCACACCACCGUCUCCUCUGUCUGGGGUUGUGAAACUUCAACCUCAUUAUAGCAGCAUUUUGCACAGAUUUUGUACACACAGGCCAUGUUGUCUGGAUUGCAAAAAAUUGCAGACUGCAGCUCAGAAACACUGGAUGUUUUCAGAAGACCUUUCUGCUGCAGUUUUUCAGACAGGAGUUUCACAUUUUCAUGGUCCAUGCAGGCACAUGUGUUCCUGUCAGAUGCUUUUGGCCGAGUCACAUAGAAAGGACAAUAUCUGACAAAUUGUCUGUAAGAGAGCAUGCGUUGCCUCUCCAUUUCAGAAUUAUAUGAGAUAUGGAGUUCUGCUAGGGGUUUAACAAGAACACGCCUCUGCUGUUUGUUUUUGUUCUUUGUUACUGUAUCUUUUUUCCCUGGCAGUAAGCGACUGUUCUCAUCACGACAGAGGAACUCAACUACUGUUUAUUUCCUUUCUAAAGCCAGUUUUUUUGCACCCCUUUUUCCUUGAGUUUUAAAUUUAACUUUUUCCUGACUCCUGGCUCUGUUCUGUCUUAAUCUUUCUAGGCGUUUUCGAAAUCUUUCUGUUUCUUGUCUGGCUGCCUCCAUUUCCCUUUUCAUCCUGUUCAUGUCACGGCGCAACUUUGCUCUCUCUCUUUGCCAUCUAAAGCUGCUUGCUCUCAAUGGUGUGGAAGAUGCUCUCGGUUGCUGAUCGUCUAAACUGUUCUCUGCAUUAAUGUUAGGGGGGUCAGGCUGAAGUUGUGCUAUUGGUGAUAGAUCCGCUGACUCAGGUGUUACUGCAAUGGGAGUUGUAUCCAGUGACUCUGGUGUAAAAUUCAAGAUUUCCUCCAUAGCCCUUUUCCUUUCCCUGUUCUUUCUCUGAUCUUUCUUCCACUGUUUCCUCACUUUAUCCUGUUCUGCUUUGGACAGCUGGCUGAUUGGGGGCUUCACACAUUUCCCCUCUCUCUUCCUAUUUUGAUAGCUAUAAAAACAAACACUAAGGUUAACUGAAAUGUUAUAAUUUGAUGUCUGACUGACUGCUGUACAAAAUAACAACUACACAAAAACUGUGGCUUAUCUACUUACCUUUCUUUCCUUUUUGCAAGAUAUCUUUCUCUUGCAGCUGGAUAAUUUUUAAUGUGCUGCCUGUAGCGUGCUGCUUUUUCUUUGCUAGAUAGUGGCAUCUAAAAUCAUUGAAAUGGAUAUUUCAAAAAUGUAAUAAUAUAAAUAUAUUUAAUGUAUAUAGUUACUAUUAAUGUACAAUUAAUUAAUAUUUUUAAAACUAUACAAUAGUAUAUAUCAGGUUAGCAUGUUUAUUUCAUCAAGAAAAUACAUUUCUUCUGGUUGCGCCACCUGAUUUACUGGUUGCGCCGCCCUGACAUUUGCUACUAAUUCCCAAUUAUUCAGGCAUCUACUUGGACAUCUAUAUAACCUUUUGACUUUGCUAGCUAGUUCAUUCAUUCAUUUUUACAUUCAAAUAAAGUCUUUUAGAUUAAAAUAAAUUUUUCAUAGUUUUACAUUGGAUGUACCACCUGACAUGUUAAACUGUACACGUCUAACUAUGAACAGAAAGUAGCUAUUUUUAUCAAUAUUAGAGAGAGAUUUACAAACCUUUCACUCAUCAGUAGAGGUCAGUUGGGGUCCUUUUGAUGAUGCAAUAUCCUGUUUACUCAUCUCUCUUCCAUUUCAAAAUAAAAGCUGUAUGAAUGCGGUUGCGCCGCCCUGACAUUUCAGAUAUGCACAUUUCCGGACAAAGUUGUUUUCAAUAUUCCAAACAAUUUAAAGAACAAUGUAACUUGUAAACUUUGAUUAUUUGAAAGGUUUUCAAUAUAAAAUGAUGCCACCAUAUUAAUAUUAUAUUAAUUAAUAUUUAAAAUUACAUAUUUAAUGCAUUUCACAUAGUGUUAACUUGUUCGGACGGUUGCACCACCUGACAUUUUGAGGGUUUGAGAUGGCAAAACAUGAUAUAUAUAUCAUUUUUAUGAUAAACUGGAAAUAUGUUCAAAUUAAACAGGUUUUAUAGAAUAAAGGAUGCUUAUUAUAAAUCAUCAAAAAUUAUUUUAAACCAAA